GACACUGUCAGAGAAAAUAAUCGACAACGGCAAUAAGUACUUAGAGCAUUUACAUCCGCUUUGUUUCUUCAUUACGCAUUCGAAUACAAGCAAGAUAUCUGAAUAUUCC